GACGAACGCUGGCGGCGUGCUUAACACAUGCAAGUCGAACGGAAAGGCCCUGCUUUUGUGGGUGACCGAGUGGCGAACGGGGGAGGUACCCCGGAGUAACCCGCCCCUGACCUUGGGAUUACCUUAGGAAACCGGGGCCAAUUCCCGAAAGGAGCCCCCUCCGCAUGGGGGGGGGUGGGAAGUUUCGGCGGUUGGGGGUGGACUCGCGGCUUAUCAGCUUGUUGGGUGGGUAGUGGCUUACCAAGGCUUUGACGGGUAGCCGGCCUGAGAGGGUGACCGGCCACAUUGGGACUGAGAUACGGCCCAGACUCCUACGGGAGGCAGCAGUGGGGAAUAUUGCACAAUGGGCGGAAGCCUGAUGCAGCAACGCCGCGUGCGGGAUGACGGCCUUCGGGUUGUAAACCGCUUUCGCCUGUGACGAAGCGUGAGUGACGGUAAUGGGUAAAGAAGCACCGGCUAACUACGUG
rnacentral:rRNA from 1 species